UCAGUGAAGAACAGGAAUAUUCCGGUUUUUCCAGGUUGCCUGAAAAAAUGUAGUCACGUAGUUUUCUUAGACGGUGAACAAGCUGUAUUACAAAGAGCAAAAAGUUUUUUCUUUUGGAGAUACACCGAAAUAUUAAAGAAAUAUUCAGAGAGCGAGACAACAUUGGUUGUGAUGGCUGAACGUUUUUUCCUGCUACUAGUCACCCAUGAGGCACGGAGCAGCCGCGUGAGCACAUUUUGACCAGAGGUCAGGUCCUUUUAGCGGGAACCUAAACUUCCUGGAGCUGCAUUCGAAUAUCGUUGGAUGUCGAUGGUGAGUCACCCAAGGAACUAAACCGAUUCUUGUGUUGACAACUCAUAUUCAUUUAACUACCGGAUUUGUGGUAGGACUGUUAAAUUGUUUUAUGCAGUUUACGUAACUAAUUUGUAUUUCAUUUAAGUUGUUAUAUACUUACCCUUUCUUCACCUGAGUGGAGUUGGACUAAGAAGGGUAAUCAAAAAACAUAUUGGAACUGGUGAACCUAAAUCUAAAAACAUCCCUAAGUCUAAUCUACGGCCAAUUACAAUUUAAUCUUGACGUAAUUGGUUAUUGAUUCUAAAUUUAGCUAUGAAAGUCUAAACAUACAGUAACUAAACCUAAAAUAGGGUAAAUUGGUUAAAGAGGAAUUUAAAUCUAGUUUUAAUCAGAGAAACUAAGGGUAUAAAACUGAAGCUCACAGAUUCAGUUAAUGUGUAUUAUGUUUGGUUGUGCAUUUUAUUUUCUGUGUAUGUCUUUCCAUUUUUCAUCCCUAUCCAUAAAGCUGGAACUGGCGUGGACAGGAAGUUGGGGGAGGUACUCAAUGGUAGGGCUUCACUGCACUUACUCAGUACUUCCUCUACAGCUCUCUGUGUAGAAAAAUAGAGUUUUCAGUUACCAUGGCAUUCACAAGGUCCAAGGAGGACGACACUAAUUCAGUAUACCCCAGCUUUAUCCAUGCAAAACACCAAGACAAGCUUAAGCUACAGAAUGGUAACAGAGAUGGGACAGGACAAGGAUUCACUAUUGUGAAUAGCACAUCUUUACCUCAACCGCUUUGACCAACUCGACCAGGUCAAUUUGGCGUGACUCCACAGGCUGGGGGAUCUCAAGACUGCUCUGCUUUGCAUCCUCCAGUAAAGGCUCAACUGCGAGAAAGCAUGGAUUUGCCAGGUCAAGCGUCUGAGCCUGAGGAACUGAGAGAUGAUCUACUAGUGUGAUUUAUGCUGAUGGAAUUUACCUCUGGAUCGCUUCUUUUGUAGCAGGAAGGGUAAAUACCAGUGACCUCAGCAGACCAGCUAAUCAUCCACAUCCCACCAGUUUGCAAGUGGACCAACCUUUGUGAAGAACUUGUGGCCACGGAUAUUCUGCGGUGACGGGCGAUCCCGUGGGUCGAUUUGAAAUAUUUUGCCCAUCAGUUUCCCAGCUUCAAUACCGAGGUUCUGGUGUAGAAUAAAUUUAGCUUCUUUGAUGUUCUUUAUCAUUUCACAGCGAUCGUCGUGAUCGAAUGGGAUUUCCCCAACCAGAAGCUGGUACCUGUAGUAAGAAAGGCAGCAAAGGUGUUUGAGGUCUUUCACAUUUGACAUAAAAAUGCUGUGCUUCCAAAAGAGCAAUUCCUCUCAACUGUGUGCCAGUAUUCAUUUUUCUUUUCUAUUUCAAGUAGAAAAA